rnacentral:misc_RNA from 1 species
UUUCGAACCCGGGCCACAAAAUUUCGAUCCCUGUCAUAGUUUGAUCAAAUUUCACCAUGGAAUCUCUGACCGCGAAUUCGGUGCCGCCAUUUCUGAGCAAGACUUACGAUAUGGUGGACGACCCCUCCACUAAUUCGGUGGUGUCGUGGAGUAGCAGUGAUAAUAGUUUUGUGGUGUGGAAUGUACCGGAGUUUCAGAGGGACCUUUUGCCGAAGUAUUUCAAGCACAGCAAUUUCUCUAGCUUUGUCAGACAGUUGAAUACUUAUGGUUUCAGGAAAGUUGACCCAGAUCGCUAUGAAUUUGCAAAUGAGGGGUUCUUAAGAGGACAAAAGCAUCUCUUGAAGAGUAUAUCUAGGAAAAAGUCACUUCAUGGACAGAGUAAUCAACCGCCUCAGGUUCAGAGCUCUAAGGUUGCAGCAUGUGUUGAAGUUGGGAUGUUUGGACUAGAGGAAGAGGUUGAAAGACUGAAACGGGACAAGAAUGUGCUUAUGCAGGAACUUGUUAGAUUGAGGCAGCAGCAGCAAGCUACAGAUAACCAGUUGCAAACUGUAGGGCAACGUGUUCAGGCAAUGGAGCAGCGACAGCAACAAAUGAUGUCAUUCCUUGCAAAGGCCAUGCAAAGCCCAGGCUUCUUAAAUCAGCUUGUACAGCAGAAUAAUGAAAGCAACAGGCUUGGGGGCACUAAAAAGAGGAGACUUCCAGGGCAGGAGGAAGAAAAUUUGGCAGUUAAGCCUGACAGUAAUUCUCCCAAUGGCCAGAUUGUGAAAUUCCACUCUUCAAUGAAUGAAGCAGCAAAAGCUAUGCUGCACCAGAUCCUGAAGAUUAAUUCAUCAUCUAGGCUGGAACCAUCAAUAAACAAUUCUGGUCCUUUCCUGAUUGGUAAUCUUUCUUCUUCCAAUGCAUUAGACAGCAACAGUGCUUCAAGUCGGAUCUCAGAAUUGAUGAUUUCAGAUGUUCAACCAACUUCUGGACCUUCAUUUUUGCCUGUUGAGUCAGGGUUUUCUGUCAGUCAUCCAUGUAAUGCCAUUUCUGAGGUCCAAUCUCCAUCAUGUGCUGUAACUGACUGUGUUAAAACAGAUCAUAUUUCUGAGAUGACAAUGCGUAAUUCUGGGCAAGAUGCAAUUCUGCCUAACUUUGCUGAGAUACAAGGACUUGUGCCAGAAAGCUCUACUGGAAUUCCUAAUACAAAUUUUGUCAAUCCAACGAAUGGGGAUGGCGAGAACAUCAAUCCAAUGCCAUCUGUCUUGGAUGUAGCAACUUCUGAAGAAACUGAUGCAUUUUCUUCCAAUCAGGACACAGAUAUUUUGAUGGAUGGGAUACCUAAGCUUCCUGGCAUUAAUGAUGUGUUCUGGGAACAGUUUCUUACAGCAAGCUCACCCACGGUGGACACGGAGGAAAUUAAUUCAAGCUCAUUGCCUAGCCACAUGACCAGAGAACAGGAAUUGCAAUCAUGGCAGGAGAAUGGCCUGGACAAUAUUCAACGUAUGAAUCAUCUUACUGAAAAAAUGGAACUUCUUAUAUCAGAGGCCAGGAUGGGGUGAAUUUUCACCAAUUGCAUAUAAGUUUCUUGCUAUCAAAGGUAAAUCUUAAAGCACCAUUACAAUGAUGAGCUGAAUCUGUCUCCUAUUGCUCAUUGUUACAGUCUGGUGAUAUAACUAAGUUUUGUCCUACUUUCAGAUUUUCAGCCUUGUUUCAGUCUAUUUCUGCAAAGCUAUUGUAGCUGUCAUAGGGUGUGCUUAAACAGACUUUGUUGUCCGUAUGAGGGCGUUGGUUGAUCAUUGAAGAAAAGAAUUUUGCCCUAUGCCAUAUAAAAUGUAAAUAUAUUACAAAUUUACUGCAUUCUAUACAAAGAAUUUAUGUACACAUUAAAUAUUGCAUUUUCACCAUCCUAUGAAAAAAAUUAACUAGCAAUAAAAAUUAUGUGGUAUUUUAGAUGAACAUAUAAAAGGCAUGUAUUCGAUAAAAAUUUUUAUCAUUCUAUAUUCUUGCCUUCUCUCACAUAUUUUCAUCCCUUUCUCAAGUCAUUUUCUUUUUCUGAUCUAUUCUGCUGGAAAUACGCUUCCAAAUUAUGAACUUGAUUUUUGUAUCAGCAUUUUAAUUAGAGAAAUAUACUAUCAUUUUCAGAACUUGCAUAAUUUUCUUAUUCUUGCAGAGUUGCUGUUCUGCACUACCGAGCAUAUUAAAGCUUGCUUUUGUUUGUUGAGGGAUGGCUAGGCAAAUUUUUUUUUUUAGCAGACUUACUUUCACCUUUAUCAUGUGUACUAUGACAAUUUUGUCUAGGUUAUGUGUGAAACCCUUUUCAUUUUAAAUAUAUGUAGUGUUUUGUGGUAAAAAUGGAUAUGGAUUCCUUUAAUAUGAAACAAACAAGCUUUGCUGUGUCUUAUGAAUGCUGAUUGAGCCAGCCUUGUAGUUGCUUGCUGCAUCCAUGUGCUUUGCCGGAAACAUGUGGGAAGCCAAGAAAGAUUAUAGGAGGCAUAGGCUACCUUUUAUAUAUAUAUAUAUAUGCGCACACACACACUUUGUUUCAGUGAUGAGAAUAUUUUGAAGCUAGAAAUUCCCUAGUUA